rnacentral:rRNA from 1 species
AGUCACUGACAUUAGAUACCCGGGUAGUCCAGGGUGUAAACGCUGCAGACUUGGUGUUGGAGGCCCUUUGGGGGCAUUCAGUGCCGGAGAGGAGUUGUUAAGUCUGCUACUUGGGGAGUACGUCCGCAAGGAUGAAACUUAAAGGAAUUGGCGGGGGAGCACCGCAACGGGAGGAGCGUGCGGUUUAAUUGGAUUCAACACCGUAAAACUCACCAGGGAAGACUGUUACAUGAAGGCCGAGAUGAAGACUCUGCUAGAUUUUCAG